rnacentral:rRNA from 1 species
CACGUAGGGCGCAAGCGUUGUCCGGAAUUAUUGGGCGUAAAGAGCUCGUAGGCGGUCUGUUACGUCUGCUGUGAAAACCCUGGGCUUAACCCUGGGCUUGCAGUGGAUACGGGCAGACUAGAGGCAGGUAGGGGAGAAUGGAAUUCCCGGUGUAGCGGUGAAAUGCGCAGAUAUCGGGAGGAACACCGGUGGCGAAGGCGGUUCUCUGGACAGUUCCUGACGCUGAGGCACGAAGGCCAGGGGAGCAAACGGG